rnacentral:misc_RNA from 1 species
GAAAGUAGAAAAAUGCUGAUAGCGAGGUUUAAUUGAUUUCUGAAGCAGCUCGACAACGUCCUUGAGACUUGUUUUCACUAUUUGAAACAAAAACAAAAAAAAAACGCUGCAACUAAGAAGAAACGGCUCUGGUAUUUCCCAUGAAAAUGGACGUAGGACAGACCAACGCGUUAGCACAACAUCAUUUCUAGAUUUCCUCGUAUUUCAUUUUAAGCCGCUGUGCGAAGACGAAAGGAUGGGACGUGAUCUUUCCGGGACGAUUCGAUCAUUUCUUAUUAUUUUGGCGCUGUCUACUUGCUGUUUCACGACCGCUCCACCUGAUUUGCAAGCUAGAGUUGAGCAACUUGAGAAAUACUAUGUCGAAAUUAAAGAACAUUUUGAAGCCAAAAUUAUUGAUUUGGAGACGAAAGUCGUUCGCCUGGAAGCCAAAGUUGAAAAACAGGAUUCACUUUUGGCUGAUUUGAAAAAAGGACACAAACCCUUGAAAGAGAAUGUCGACAUCAACCAACAUCGUCGUCAAAACGCUACCCUUCGUACUUGCCACGAAAUCCACGUCGCAAAUCCGUCGUACCCAUCUGGUAUGUACUGGAUCGAUCCUGACGGCCAAGGCAUUGGUGAUCCACCAAUCUACGUCUAUUGCGAAAUGGAGGCAGAACAAAGUGAUGUCAAAGGUACAACAUCCAUCCUGCACGACAGCGAGUCGCAAAUGGACAUUGGAAAUUGCACCGAACCUGGAUGUUACUCGAGGCCGAUCAAAUAUUACGCAAGCGAUAGACAAAUCGAAGCGUUGAUUCAAUUGUCCACUUACUGCCAUCAAAAUAUUAUGUACCAUUGCAGAAAAACACCAUUAAACUUCGACGGGAUUGCCUAUGCUUGGUGGAACGACAAAGAUGGCGAAAGGCACGAGUUUUCUAAUCGGUCGACGACGUGCGACCAACUAGCUUACACAGAAGGUUACGAUUUACAAUACGUCGUGGACAACGUUUCUCUGCCUAUUACGCGGAUCCAUUUUAGCAAUCCGUUUAAAGGAUUCGGCCAACACCAAGUGAGUCGGUUGCGAUGUCGUGGGAAGGCAAAGACGGAGGCGAUGCCGAGAUCGUGUGAAGAUUUGUGGCGGAUGGGCCAUAACCUCAACGGAAUCUACUCCGUCAAGGGAGCUAAACAAAUGGAAACUGUUUUCUGCCAAUUUGAUAAACGACCUAAUGAACAAGAUUUCCAGAAGAGGAUUGGCUAUCAAGACAUAAAGACACGACCAGUGUACUUCUCCGUACGGAGAUUUGAAAGGUUUUCGGAAAGGUUAAUUCCAAUUCCGUUUGAUUAUGACGUAGUCAACAUUGGAGGGGCCAUUGAUUCGCAUAGCGGCGUAUUCACAGCACCCUUUACCGGGACUUACUUCUUUUCUUUUGCUGGAAUCGCGUAUUUUCCAGGAGGGGGAGGGGGAGGGAGCGUAUUUACGUUUCUUUAUAGUAGAGGAGUAGAGGAGAAAAUAAUAUCACAUUAUACCUUGAACAACUAUUUAAAUCUUAAAAUAAUAUCACAUUAUACCUUGAACAAUUCAAAUCUUGAAAAUCUAAGUCCAAUUACCGUUCAAAGUACUCUACGUUUGCAAGCCGGAGAUAAAGUAUGGAUCAGUUUCAUUUUUCGUAAUGCGUCUCUAUUCGGAGAAAAAAAGACGAUUUUUAGCGGAUGGCUUUUAGAAGAAGAAAUCUAAGCAUCGCCAACGUUUUGCACAAGCCAGUUUGGCAGCAAAUACUACGACCAUGAAAACAAAAGGGCACCAACGAGCACAGAACGUCCUUCAAUCCGACCCCAUCAACUUAUAAAUAUGCUUCUAAAUAUGUUUUCAAUCUCACUGUUCAUUUCGUAAUGAAACAUUUUAGCGAAACCGGUUUCAGUAGCUAGUACGACAGUAGCAGGUACGGAGUCCUGAAAGCCGUAAGGCUUCGCAAAAACUACGUAUUUAACAGAGGACCUUCUUAUUUUCGUUCAUCAGUACACAGAAAUUGAACGAACAGGAUGAAUGUUUUUUUUUGCUAGCCAAAGACUUGCCAUUUUAUUGACAUCCCACAAUCGCCACUUCAGCCGAACAUACGGCGUCCUAAAAAAAUGCGAUUCGUUGCUAUUCAAUAGCUAUUCUAUUGAGCCGUCGGUGGUGGUGGAUCCUAUGGUGGAUUCGGCGGAAGAUAUGGUGGCGGAUACGGUGGCUGCCCCGCUUGUUAAUCUUUAACUGAAAGAAUUAUCCUUGAAUAAUUCAUCUUUGACCAACCAUGAAUGACGAAAAAUGUUGCAGAUUUUUAACGAAGAUUGUAGAUCAAUCCUAUAUUAUAUACUGUUGUAAUUGUGACCUAUCAAAUACAGUAUCAUUACUUUAAUUA